AUGCCGGCAGAAAUACUGAAUAUACCCGGAAACCAAAGCCCAAAAGAGGGAAGCAUAAGCCGGCGGACGACAUAAAUGUCCCCGGAAACUAGGCGAACGUAAAACACUAGAAAUACAAAGCAAAUAUAGCAACCCGACAACGCAAAAGAACGAAACCAUAAACUAAGAAAGAAGCAGAAGGUAAAAACCUUAAGAAAACCAAUAGACAAAAGAAUACAAGGAAACCAUUUCUUUUGAAGCACCUGCGACAACGCACAUACAUAUUCUCCUAAAAUAACAUCUACCUUCUCCUAUCACGAUGAGAGCUGAUCUCUCGAAACCAAGAAACAAAGACUUCAGAACCCGGCAAGCAAAACCUAUGAGUUGAGAGAAUCUCGAGCACGCUUCCGAAUACGACUACGACGACUGCCACGUCCAACAAUGUCUAACUAGAAAUCAUCAAAAGGCAAACCUAUCUAAACAGAUUCACGAAAGCAAGACAAGGAGAGAGGCCCAACCUCUCAAAUAUCACCAAUCACAAGAAUGAGAACGACGAUGGAUCGAGACGGUUGUCAAACACAGCGAACAACAUCAGGGAGAAGAAGCAUCUGCAAACAUAAAGGUCUAUCAAUCCAAAACAAACAAACUAAACUUCUUCUUAGCAAGGUGACGAACCCAAAAGAAUUCAAUGGUUAAGACGAGUCGACCAGGAGCGGAUAGAAGAGCAGAGUCUGGACAGAACCUGACUAGUACCCAAACAUCACUCAACAAACGGCUUAGAGACUAUCAACGCAAGAACGACGAGGCUAGGGACGGAACAAGCAAAACCAAGGCAUGAUUCUUAGAGCAGCACCGUAGAUCCUAUACAUCCGGAGCCAACAGUUUCGCAAUAGCCACAAAUCCCAUAGACAAAGCCGCUCCAACCGAAUCCGCAAAUCACAAAAUCAAACUCGAAGCAAAUCCAAAGAAUCCCCAAACGCAAGCGGGAAAUACUCACUCAAACCAAAACAACUAGCCUCAACUACUCAAAGGAGGAAGAGCAAGAAGAAAGCUUACCCGACCCGAAACAAACCUCACCGAGAAGACCUACAACGCUGAUAAGCUAACCUCACCACCGAUCCACCAGAAGAAGCCAAGGCGAUGCAAGACAACAAAAAGACAACUUACGACGGAGCAAUAUAGCCCCUCUCACAGUGACGGCGAGGAGCGCCACUCAUCGGAGAGGGAGAUCGGAAUCAAAUUUUCUGGGUUCUCACUUCUCAGAAGUGUCGGCGGCUGAAACCCUUUGUUUUUUUGUGUAAUGAAAGAUCUAGAAAAAAGAAAAAAAAAAUUACCAUUUACAAGUUGCUAUGGUCAAAGUUUUUACU
rnacentral:lncRNA from 1 species